GACGAACGCUGGCGGCGUGCUUAACACAUGCAAGUCGAGCGAUGAAGCACCUUCGGGUGUGGAUUAGCGGCGAACGGGUGAGGAACACGUGAGGAAUCUGCCUUUCACUUCGGGAUAACUCCGGGAAACCGGGGCUAAUACCGGAUAUUUUCAACUGGCGGCAUCGCCGGUUGAAGAAAGUUUUUCGGUGAAAGAUAACCGCGCGGCCUAUCAGCUUGUUGGUGAGGUAAUGGCUCACCAAGGAGACGACGGGUAGCCGGCCUGAGAGGGCGACAGGCCACACUGGGACUGAGACACGGCCCAGACUCCUACGGGAGGCAGCAGUGGGGAAUAUUGGGCAAUGGAGGAAACUCUGACCCAGCGACGCCGCGUGAGGGAUGAAGGCCUUCGGGUUGUAAACCUCUUUCAGCAGGGAAUAAGCGAAAGUGAAGGUACCUGCAGAAGAAGCACCGGCUAACUAUGUGCCAGCCGCCGCGGUAA
rnacentral:rRNA from 1 species